UCUGAAUGCUGGAAACUGACAGUGGCUCUCAGCAAGUGCCUUCUUCCACCAAUUCUUCAGGGUCUACUCCCCUGUCGCAUUUGGCAAGAAGACAGACAAGAAUGGAGACUACAUCAAAAAGUACCUUCCUCUUCUAAGGAAGUUUCCAGCCACGUAUAUCUAUGAGCCUUGGAAAGCUCCACUCAGAAUCCAACAGGCAGCAGGAUGCAUUGUAGGUAAAGACUACCCGCAUCCUAUUGCACAGCAUGAAGUGAUCAGCAAGAAGAACAUCCAGAGGAUGAAGUUAGCUUAUGCCAAGAGAUCCACAGACUCCGCUGACACACCCAGCAAAAAGCAAGGUGUAAAGCGCAGGGCACCAUCUGUCGCCAACAUGUUGAAGAAGAAAGAGAGAAAAAAGUAAUGUUUACACAAAUGAAUGCAAAGUAAUAGAGUUUAUGUGUAAUCUAUAUAUAUAUAUAUAUAUAUAUAUAUAUAUAUACAGGUUUUGGUGUCCUCCCAGUACUGAAGCUCUGUCUGGACUGGAAGCUAAAGUGGUCGGUCAGAGACUUAUUGAGAGUCUUAGUCUUAUUAAUGUGUGCAGG